UUAACUCAAAUUUGCAUGGAAUUGGACAUAUUUCCUACGUUUGCCGCUAGGGGCGCUGUUUCAAUUCCAUACAAUAUUUUGUUA
rnacentral:pre_miRNA from 1 species